GACGAACGCUGGCGGCGUGCUUAACACAUGCAAGUCGAACGGAAAGGCCCUGCUUUUUUGGGGUGCUCGAGUUGCGAACGGGUGAGUAACACUUGAGUAACCUGCCCUUGACUUUGGGAUAACUUCAGGCAACUUGGUCUAAUACCGGCUAGGAUCUCCUGCUGCUUGGUGGGGGUUGGUUAGUUUCGGCGGUUGGUGAUGUACUGGCGGCUUAUCAGCUUGUUGGUGGGGUAGUGGAUUAGCAAGGCCUUGAGGGGUAGCAGAGCUGGGAGGGUGACCGGCCACAUUAGGACUGAGAUGAGACACAGACUACUACGGGAGGCAGCAGAGGAGAAUAUAGCACAAUGGGAGGAAGCAUAAUGCAGCAAAGCAGCGUGGGGGAUGAGGGCCAGCGGGUUGUAAACCGAUUUCGCCUGUGACGAAACGUGAGUGACGGUAAUGGGAAAAGAAGCACCGGCUAACUACGUG
rnacentral:rRNA from 1 species